AGCCUGCAGUGGGUACGGGCAGACUAGAGUGCGGUAGGGGAGAACGGAAUUCCUGGUGUAGCGGUGGAAUGCGCAGAUAUCAGGAGGAACACCGAUGGCGAAGGCAGUUCUCUGGGCCGUUACUGACGCUGAGGAGCGAAAGCGUGGGGAGCGAACAGGAUUAGAUACCCUGGUAGUCCACGCCGUAAACGGUGGGUGCUAGCUGUGGGCCACAUUCCACGUGGUCCGUGACGAAGUUAACACAUUAAGCACCCCGCCUGGGGAGUACGGCCGCAAGGCUAAAACUCAAAGGAAUUGACGGGGGCCCGCACAAGCGGCGGAGCAUGCGGUUUAAUUCGAUGCAACGCGAAGAACCUUACCAAGGCUUGACAUAUAGAGGAAAAGUGCAGAAAU
rnacentral:rRNA from 1 species